UACGAAGGGGGCUAGCGUUGCUCGGAUUUACUGGGCGUAAAGGGCGCGUAGGCGGUCAGUUAAGUCGGGGGUGAAAGCCCGGGGCUCAACCUCGGAAUUGCCUUCGAUACUGGCUGUCUUGAGUGUGAGAGAGGUGAGUGGAAUUCCGAGUGUAGAGGUGAAAUUCGUAGAUAUUCGGAAGAACACCAGUGGCGAAGGCGGCUCACUGGACUGGUAUUGACGCUGAGGUGCGAAAGCGUGGGGAGCAAACAGG
rnacentral:rRNA from 1 species